AGGAAAAGAAAAAAAAGAAAGGAAAAGAAAAGAAAAAAGACAAAAGAAAGAUGUAAAUCUCCUUAAUUCAUUUGCGCAGUGCGCCAUUCCAGGAGCCCCACCGGGUCUGAGUGCGCAUGCACAAGGCGACUCUGGACCCAGAGGUGGAAAGCCGUACUGGGUCCGUCCUUGUGUGCAUGUCUGCCCAUGCGCAUAGGGGAUGUAGGCGCUGACCCGGUAGCGCUAAGCACUAUGGGUACCGGCGCAGGCGCAUGGUGGACGCAGGACCCCCAGAGGCUCUGUGUCCUCCAUUCCCUCUCACCUGGCUGGCACGAAGUUCUGGGAGACCAUGUGCAUGUGCUUGUACCUGCUUUAUGGGGGACCUGAGCCCUGGUGACAUUUGUUUCCCCCAGAGUAGCCCUUGGACACCCCUCACCUCGAGUUGAAGGUCUCGGCUCCUCAUGACCGCCAUGUUCUUCUCCUCACUGAGCUGUGCGUAGCGCAUGGCUAAGUUGUAGUUGUCGUCCUUCACCUUGACCAGCUCGUCAUUGUAGCUGUCCCGCUCUUCCUUCAUCUUGUAGUACCGCUCCUGGAAGGACGGAUGGAAGAAAUACAUUUGAUGUGAUGUCAACCCCGAUGGUUUGGUGAAGCUGCCUGCAGUACUGUUUUGAGAAAUAUUCCAAAGUUACAUCCAAGCUCAGUGGGAAAACAUGCUGAUUAGUGAUGUCUGCCAUGGAUGCCAGAGAGUCGCAGCUGAUGAGCCAUUUACCACCAGCCACGCUGGGGGACAGUGAUUAUCAAACCUUCUAAACUGAUCCGUAGAAAGAAAAACAUUUAACAUUGUGGUCUAGUGACCACAAACAAAGAUAACUCUACAAAUACAUGUGUAUACACAUGUACAUAAUAUACAAUUAAAACAAGCUUCAUAAACCAUAUUUAUUACCUUUACUGAAUAUGAUAAAGUGUCCUACCCAACCCCCCCCCGGAAGUCAGGCUAGAAAAGCCUGUGGCACCCUUCUUGGAAUAAUAUUUUUAAACAGAUAAAGUACAUCAGAUUACAAAAGAAACCAAUUAUAAUAAAAUCCAGUUAUCAAAUAUUAAAUAAA